rnacentral:sRNA from 1 species
UAACUUUUUGAUGUCAAAUAAAAUCAACCGAAAUUUGUUUUUAAAAAGUUUCUGUUUGUAAUUUAUGUUCAAAUGAAUAACAUCACGUGCAAAUUGAACGGCGGCAGCGGCGGUGGCAAGAAGAAUUUAACGAACUCAUCCUUGUGCUGGCAACAACCAAACAACAUCCAACAACAUUGAAAGUUCCAUCCAUCCAUCCAUUCAACCCCUCCUCAUGAGAUCAUAAAAUGUUGCAAAACAUUGCAAACAAACAACUGCGAGCAGUAAAGGAUAUUAAGGACUCUGUCAAAAACAAAAAUGCAAAAACAGUAAUUCAGUGAACCGAACACAGUUUGAAUUUCAGCCAGGGAGAUAACUCGUCAGAGAGACAAAGUCACAAAGCUCUUUUUAAGAAUACCCACCCGCAUAGUGUCGGUGCGUAUGCUACUCGCAUUAUACGAUUACCUAGCACUAGGGAAGAAACGGAAAUUGCUUAGCUCCUACUCACAUACAUACAGUCACACAAAUUAACUUAUAAAAAAAACUGAAAGAAGACGAAGAAGAGAAAACACAACAACUCCAAUGCUGUUUGUUGCCAUUGAGACGUGCGACAAUAACUUUUAUUCGAAUACCUGCUGUUUAUUGAAACAACUUUGCUGCAGUACUUUUUUAUUGCCUCAAAUUCAAAUGUUGUGACAAAAAGGGAGUGAGGUGAGGAUAAUACAAGAGGGUGGAAAACGUCUUUGUGCAAAUGUACAAUGGCAACCUGCUGCGUUGCCAACUAUAACUGCCACUAUGCCAUUUGCCUCAAUGUGUCACUUUGUAGUUUAUUUGCAACAGUUAAUGCCGACUUUUAUCCCCGGUUUAGCCACGAACCGUAAAAGGACACCAACUAAGAAGGACGUUGAGGAUAACAAAUGUUGCAAUUGUUAAUAAAAAUGCAAUGCAUUUAUUUA